UUGACCUCGAAUCAAGUAGGAAUACCCGC
rnacentral:rRNA from 1 species